rnacentral:rRNA from 1 species
GACGAACGCUGGCGGCGUGCUUAACACAUGCAAGUCGAACGGAAAGGCCCUGCUUUUGUGGGGUGCUCGAGUGGCGAACGGGUGAGUAACACGUGAGUAACCUGCCCUUGACUUUGGGAUAACUUAAGGAAACUGGGGCUAAUACAGGACAGGAGCUCUUGAUGCACGGUGGGGGCUGGAAAGAUUCGGCGGUUGGGGAUGGACUCGCGGCUUAUCAGCUUGUUGGUGGGGUAGUGGCUUACCAAGGCUUCGACGGGUAGCCGGCCUGAGAGGGUGACCGGCCACAUUGGGACUGAGAUACGGCCCAGACGCCUACGGGAGGCAGCAGUGGGGAAUAUUACAGAAUGGGCGGAAGCCUGAGACAGCGGCGCCGCGUGCGGAAUGACGGCCUGCGGGUUGUAAACCGCUUUCGCCGGUAACGAAGCGUGAGUGACGGUAAUGGGUAAGGAAGCACCGGCUAACUACGUG